rnacentral:rRNA from 1 species
UACGUAGGGUGCAAGCGUUGUCCGGAAUUAUUGGGCGUAAAGAGCUCGUAGGCGGUCUGUCGCGUCGGAUGUGAAAAUCCAGGGCUCAACCCUGGACCUGCAUUCGAUACGGGCAGACUAGAGUUCGGUAGGGGAGACUGGAAUUCCUGGUGUAGCGGUGAAAUGCGCAGAUAUCAGGAGGAACACCGGUGGCGAAGGCGGGUCUCUGGGCCGAAACUGACGCUGAGGCACGAAAGCGUGGGGAGCAAACAGG